AGGGCACAUUGUCAGUGGUGCACACCAGGAUCCUCGGAUAGUUCAUCCAUCUUUACGAAUUGGCCUCACCUGAAGAAGGCUACACCAGUUCUUACCAUGGCUACAAAAUGCAGCAGAUUCAUGCCAGGCUUGUUGGCUUUGGUGUCAGCCAGUGUGAGCAGCGAUGCAAUACGGAAACCAGCAGCAUUCCCUGCAUAUCCACCCUGAGAAGCCACAUACAAGGAUACCUAGAGAGGAAAAGAACAGGGUGGGAAAAGACCGAGGCGGGC